UGGGGAAUUUUGGACAAUGGGCGAAAGCCUGAUCCAGCAAUGCCGCGUGUGUGAAGAAGGCCUUCGGGUUGUAAAGCACUUUUGUCCGGAAAGAAAUCCUUGGCUCUAAUACAGUCGGGGGAUGACGGUACCGGAAGAAUAAGCACCGGCUAACUACGUGCCAGCAGCCGCGGUAAUACGUAGGGUGCAAGCGUUAAUCGGAAUUACUGGGCGUAAAGCGUGCGCAGGCGGUUUGCUAAGACCGAUGUGAAAUCCCCGGGCUCAACCUGGGAACUGCAUUGGUGACUGGCAGGCUAGAGUAUGGCAGAGGGGGGUAGAAUUCCACGUGUAGCAGUGAAAUGCGUAGAGAUGUGGAGGAAUACCGAUGGCGAAGGCAGCCCCCUGGGCCAAUACUGACGCUCAUGCACGAAAGCGUGGGGGAGCAAAACAGGAUUAGAUACCCUGGUAGUCCACGCCCUAAACGAUGUCAACUAGUUGUUGGGGAUUCAUUCCUUAGUAACGUAGCUAACGCGUGAAGUUGACCGCCUGGGGAGUACGGUCGCAAGAUUAAAACUUAAAUGAAUUGACGGGGUCAUAGCUGUUUCCU
rnacentral:rRNA from 1 species